CUGGAGGAGGACGGCAAGACUCAACUCUACAAGAUCUGCAAGGCCUACUCAGUGUAUGAUGAGGAGAUUGGUUACUGCCAGGGACAGUCUUUCCUGGCUGCUGUGCUGCUGCUGCACAUGCCUGAGGAACAGGCCUUCAGUGUUCUGGUCAAGAUCAUGUUUGACUACGGACUCAGGGACCUCUUCAAGCAGAACUUUGAGGAUCUACACUGCAAGUUCUUCCAGCUGGAGAGACUCAUGCAGGAGUACAUCCCAGCCUGUAUAACCACUUCCUGAAUGUGGGUCUGAGGCUCAUAUGUACGCCUCUCAGUGGUUCCUUACACUCUUCACAGCCAAGUUCCCCCUCUAC